CCUACGGGUGGCAGCAGUGGGGAAUAUUGGACAAUGGGGGGAACCCUGAUCCAGCCAUGCCGCGUGUGUGAAGAAGGCCCUCGGGUUGUAAAGCACUUUCAGUGAGGAAGAACGCCUGGUGGUUAAUACCCAUCAGGAAAGACAUCACUCACAGAAGAAGCACCGGCUAACUCCGUGCCAGCAGCCGCGGUAAUACGGAGGGUGCGAGCGUUAAUCGGAAUUACUGGGCGUAAAGCGCGCGUAGGUGGCUUGAUAAGCCGGUUGUGAAAGCCCCGGGCUCAACCUGGGAACGGCAUCCGGAACUGUCAAGCUAGAGUGCAGGAGAGGAAAGUAGAAUUCCCGGUGUAGCGGUGAAAUGCGUAGAGAUCGGGAGGAAUACCAGUGGCGAAGGCGGCCUUCUGGACUGACACUGACACUGAGGUGCGAAAGCGUGGGUAGCAAACAGGAUUAGAUACCCGUGUAGUC
rnacentral:rRNA from 1 species